rnacentral:rRNA from 1 species
UACUGAGGAUCCGAGCGUUAUCCGGAUUUAUUGGGUUUAAAGGGUGCUCAGGCGGGGGAUUAAGUCGGCGGUGAAAUUUUGCAGCUCAACUGUAAAAGUGCCUUCGAUACUGGCUUCCUUGAGUGUGGAUGAAGUAGGCGGAAUUUGUGGUGUAGCGGUGAAAUGCAUAGAUAUCACGAGGAACUCCGAUUUCGCAGGCAGCUUACUAAACCAUAACUGACGCUCAGGCACGAAGGCGUGGGGAUCAAACAGGAUUAGAUACCCCCGUA